rnacentral:tRNA from 1 species
CGGAAAAUAGCAUAAGUAAUAAUGCGCCUCGUUUACACUGAGGAUAUGUAAUGUGUUGCUUUUCUGU